CCUACGGGAGGCAGCAGUAGGGAAUCUUCCGCAAUGGACGAAAGUCUGACGGAGCAACGCCGCGUGAGCGAUGAAGGCCUUCGGGUCGUAAAGCUCUGUUGUUAGGGAAGAACAAGUACGAGAGUAACUGCUCGUACCUUGACGGUACCUAACCAGAAAGCCACGGCUAACUACGUGCCAGCAGCCGCGGUAAU
rnacentral:rRNA from 1 species